rnacentral:ncRNA from 1 species
CGCUCGUUGCCACCGGGUAACGAGGGAGGCGUCAUUUCUUUAUCGUUAGGUCUUAGAAGAUAAAGAAAUGGCGUUAUUUUUGGG